rnacentral:lncRNA from 1 species
UUUUUUUUUGAGGUUAAACAUACUUCCAAUUAACUAAAAACUGUUGAUACAUCAGUUGUGUUACAAAGUGCUGCAGAUAUGGAGUUUGGAACUACUCCCAUCCACAAUUUAGUACCAACAACAUUUGAAAAACCUGCUAAUCCAUGAGCAACAACAUUUAGGUGACGCCUAACAUGUGUCACAACUACACUAUCUAAUUAUUCAAUAAGUAAAUUACAAUCUUGAAUCACUAAAUCUAUCACAGCAACAUGCUUGUUUGAGUUAAUACAACUUACUACAGUGGCAGCAUCAGAUACAAUAACAAUGUCUGUCAUAUUUAAUUUAAUAGCUUUUUGAAGACACCAUCUCACACCAAUUGCCUCGGCCAAGACAGGCUCAACAUCAAUUAAUUCUUUCCUGUAGGCUGAGAGAACAACACGGCCUGAUUG